rnacentral:rRNA from 1 species
UUGAAAGGGAAACGAUUGAAGUCAGUCGUACCGGCGGGUAAUCAGCCUUUUGGGUGUGAUUAUGUGGAGCGUGAGGAGUUAAUCACCCUCAUCUUUGCAUAUUCGUGCACUUUGGGUGUACUUGCUCGUGUGGUAGGUCAACAUCAAUUUUGAUCGUCAUAAAAUGAUUGGGGGAAUGUAGCUUCGAUCUCGUAUUGAAGUGUUAUAGCCUUCGGUAGAUGUGAUGAUUGGGAUUGAGGAUUGCAACGGAUACCCUUCGGGGCUACCUGUCUGAUCUCUGAAAGUUGCUCUGGUGCUGAAAGCUUGCUCACGGUAUCAAAGUUGACGUUCAACAGGUUAGAACGGGAUAAAUUCGUUAAGGAUGUUGACGUA